AACAUGCAGAGCAGGGGGGGCUGAGGACCAAGUUGGAGAAACACUGAUCUAGAUGAUCAGGUAAACAGAUGGUGAUUCACAGACGCCUGACAGCACAGCGAUGCCCUGAAGCAACAAACCCAAAUCUGGUUCUGGGAGGCGUUGAUGUCCAAUUUCAUGAUUGAUAUGUAAUUAGGGACCACUAAGCUCCCAAAGAAUCUGGGAAAAUAUUAUUUUCCCCAAAAAUAAAAAGUAAUGCCAUAAAGAGUUAAAAGCCAAAGUAACUCUUUAAUGAGUCUCAUCUGGACGAAAACUUUGACAAACAAGUGAGACAAACUUGAAAGAGCAAAAAUGAACAAACUCUAUUAACAGUUUACACCAUCUUCAUCGUCAAAACUGGGUUUGAUGGAAAA